AUACGGAGGGUGCAAGCGUUACUCGGAAUCACUGGGCGUAAAGGACGCGUAGGCGGGAUGCCAAGUCUGAUGUGAAAUCCUAUGGCUCAACCAUAGAACUGCAUUGGAAACUGGUAACCUAGAGUAUGGGAGGGGGAGAUGGAAUUAGUGGUGUAGGGGUAAAAUCCGUAGAUAUCACUAGGAAUACCGAAAGCGAAGGCGAUCUCCUGGAACAUUACUGACGCUAAGGCGUGAAAGCGUGGGGAGCAAACAGGAUUAGAAACCCCGGUAGUCC
rnacentral:rRNA from 1 species